GAUGAACGCUGGCGGCGGGCCUAAUACAUGCAAGUCGAGCGAACGGACGAGAAGCUGGCUUCUCUGAUGUUAGGGGCGGACGGGUGAGGAACACGAGGAUAACCUACCUAUAAGACUUGGAUAACUUCGGGAAACCGGAGCUAAGACCAGAUAAUAGUGUUAACAGAAUGGUGCAAGAGGGAAAGAACGUAGUGCUAUCACUUAUAGAUGGAUACGCGCUGCAUUAGCUAGUUGGUAGGGUAACGGCUUACCAAGGCAACGAUGCAUAGCCGAUCUGAGAGGAUGAUAGGCCCCACUGCAAUUGAGACACGGUCCAGACCCCUAUGGUAGGCAGCAGUGGGGAAUCUUACGCAAUGGGCGAAAGCCUGACGGAGCAACGCCGCGUGAGUGAUGAAGGUCUUCGGCUCCUAAAACUCUGUUAUUUGGGAAGAACAUUUGUGUGAGUAACUGUGCCCCUCUUGCCGGUACCUACUCAGAAAGCCCCGGCUAACUCCGUG
rnacentral:rRNA from 1 species